ACUUUCACAAGCAAGAAAAAUUGCUGAAUCGUAUUCAAACGAAUCAGACGAUGUGGUUCGUUUAGUUUGCGAUAAGCAAAAGUCUACGUCUCGGUAGGUACCUCAGUGACCGUAGAGCCUGUCCAUGCAGAAGGAU